GAGUGCUCGUGGCGCUGAACGGAGAGGUCCCCUGAGAGAACGCAGAUGUCAUCGCUGCGGCAGGAGAGCAUCAGAUUGUGAGACCGCAGCUUGACCUGCAUUAAGGAGGAAGUGGGGAGAUUUGCUUCCAGGUGCUUCUUACCCAAACUACAAUGCUAAUGUAGAGGAGUCCACAAAUCCUCUGCUCUCCAAAGCCUGCCAACAUUAACAGCUCAGCAACUGGGCUCUGCAUCUUUGCUAGGUGAUUCUUUUCCUAACAAGUCAUCCAGUUCAUUGAUUCCUAGCAGACGUGCCUGAGGUACCUCCAGUUCCAAACGGU